GUCUAUGUCAGUAUGUAUGUAUAUAUCUGUGUAUGUAUGUCAGUAUGUUUGUAUAUAUCUAUGUGUAUGUAUGUCAGUAUGCAUGUAUGACUGUCUGUGUGUGUAUGUCAGUAUGUAUGUAUCUGUGUAUGUAUAUAUCUAUAUGUAUGUUUGUGUGUGUAUGUCUGUAUGUAUGUAUAUCAGUAUGUAUGUGUAUGUAUGCCAUUAUGUAUGUAUGUAUGUCAGUAUGUAUUUAUG